UACGUAGGGGGCAAGCGUUGUCCGGAUUUAUUGGGCGUAAAGAGCGUGUAGGCGGCCAGACAGGUCCGUUGUGAAAACUCGAGGCUCAACCUCGAGACGCCGAUGGAAACCGUCUGGCUAGAGUCCGGAAGAGGAGAGUGGAAUUCCUGGUGUAGCGGUGAAAUGCGUAGAUAUCUGGAGGAACACCGGUGGCGAAGGCGGCAUCCUGGACCGACAUUGACGCUGAGGAGCGAAAGCUAGGGGAGCAAACGGG
rnacentral:rRNA from 1 species